ensembl:lncRNA
CACCUACAAUGUGGGAGACCUGGGUUCGAUCCCUGGGUUGGGAAGAUCCCCUGGAGAAGGGAAAGGCUACCCACUCCAGUAUUCCAGCCUGGGGAAUUCCAUGGACUGUAGAGUCCACGAGGUCACAAAGAAUCAGACAUGACUGAGGGACUCACUUUCACUUUCCACUGUCUUGAGUGUUCUCCAAGUUCUGGAGGCUGGGAAGUCCAAGAUCAAGGUUUCUGCAAAUCUGAUUCAGUUUCUACUGAGGAUACUUUUCCUGGUUUGCAGAUGGCUGCCUUCCUGCUACAUUGUCACAUGGUGGACAGAAAGCAAGCAAGCUCUGGUCUCUCUUCCUCUUCAUAUAAGGACACUAAUCCCAUCAUAGGGCCCCACUCUCAUGACCUUACCUAAAACUAAUUAUCUACAAAAGGCCCACACCUCCAGAUACCAUCACACUGGGAGUUUGGGCUUCACCUAUGAAUAUUUUUUUGUAUGUGGUGUGAGGAAGGGAUACAAACAUUCACUCAAUAACCCCUGCUAUGUACACUGGGUAAGUAGAAGAGUUGAGCUUAAAGGACAGGUCUGUCUGAUUCCAGAUGAUUUUAAUGACUGUUCUUUCUCCUACAUCAUGUUGCAUCCCCCCUCACCUAAUAGGCUUCGCUCCAAAGCUAAUAAAUCCAUAAGAAAAAGCAAACUAUAGCCUGUGGCCCAUACCUAACCCACCACUUGGUUUUGUAAAUGAAUUUUUUAUGGAAGCCAGCUGUGCAUAUUCAUUUAUACAUUAUCUAUUGCUGCUUUAGCUCCACCAUGGCAGAACUGAGUAUGUGCAACAGACACCAUAAAUCCAGC